GUCUCUGAGGAAUUUGCAUCUUUACCCUGUAGUGAACGUUGGAAGUACAACCCACUACCUGUACAGGAUCCUCCUGGUUCUGCCAGCAUCAGCCAGACUCUUGCCUUUGGCUUUCUCGGACACUUCCUGGAAAUACCUCCCAAAUAAACUGUAGUCUCAGAGUCUCAACAGGAAGAACCCAAUUAAGACCAGCUUCAUGGAUGUGUGACCUCGGAAGGACCUUUUGCCAGUUCCUACUGAACCUCUGAAGAAUGACUAUCUGACUGACUCACUGCCUCACCAAACACAGGAUCUCCUUCUCAAGAAAUAUGACCCUUUAGCCUCUCCAAGGGAGGAUGUACAGGAAGAGGCAUUGACUGCACAAAGAAGACCAC